rnacentral:lncRNA from 1 species
CGUAAUCGAGUCGGAUUUGGUCUGGAUUGCCCGCGUAGCUGAAGUAAGUGUAGAGGUUUAAGUGUAAAGGAGAUUUCUUGUUUACCAAGAAACGUAUGAUUGGUUCCAUGAGCACCAUUACUUCUCCUUUAAACGAACCUUUCGAAGGUGGGUAAGACUCUCCGAGCACUCCCAUGUCUAUCGCUGUUGAUACCUAUUAAGAAUCAAGCAUUUACAACAAAAACGUAAUGUUUCAAACGCAAUAAAGAUACAUGCAUGCUACCAAAUUUCGUAUAAAAUAAAAAGACAAUUUAGCGGUUCCAUUGUUUCAUUUCAAACGCACUUACGUUUUCAAAACAAGAUUUACAAUUAGAAAAUAAAUAUUUCUUUGAUUAUUAGAUAAUUUUGCUAUAUGUGAACAAAAAUAAAAUUAACGAAUUGGUGACCAGGAAAAAAAAAAUAUUUUGCAAAAUAUUUUGCGAAUUGUAAACUAAAGUAAAAAUUAAUUAAAUGGUGAGCAGAAGAGAAAACUUAUAAUUUAAAAUGCCAAAAGUUUUGGUGGUAAUACCUUAAUACGACCGCCGAGUCCGGAUCCUAAUACCGCCCGGUCAAUAUUUUCCAUGGCAGGCACUAGAAAUUGUGAGUAAGAGUCAAAGAUCUUCACUUCGUUCCCAACAGAUACGUAACGGAACUUGACGUCAUCCACGUAGUUGUUGACGUUGUUUUGGACCCACGUGUCAGCUUCAGAUUGGCUAGAGGCUAUGCGUUGUAGGUCC